GAUGAACGCUGGCGGCGUGCUUAACACAUGCAAGUCGAACGGAAAGGCCCAAGCUUGCUUGGGUACUCGAGUGGCGAACGGGUGAGUAACACGUGGGUGAUCUGCCCUGCACUUCGGGAUAAGCCUGGGAAACUGGGUCUAAUACCGGAUAGGACCACUUCUUGGAUGUUGUGGUGGAAAGUUUUUUCGGUGUGGGAUGAGCUCGCGGCCUAUCAGCUUGUUGGUGGGGUAAUGGCCUACCAAGGCGUCGACGGGUAGCCGGCCUGGGAGGGUGUACGGCCACAUUGGGACUGAGAUACGGCCCAGACUCCUACGGGAGGCAGCAGUGGGGAAGAUUGCACAAGGGGCGCAAGCCUGAUGCAGCGACGCCGCGUGGGGGAUGACGGCCUUCGGGUUGUAAACUCCUUUCGCUAGGGACGAAGCGUUUUGUGACGGUACCUGGAGAAGAAGCACCGGCUAACUACGUG
rnacentral:rRNA from 1 species